AUGGCGUCUCAACCGAUCAUUGCUGGCUUCAUGGAGCGAAUUGGAGCAGACAGCCGGGUCAAAACUCAAAAGAAGGAAAGCAAAACACCACCAGCCCACAGACCGCAGGGCAUUCGCUUCACUGGCACCAGUCCACGGCGGUCCUCGUGCACCGCAGUACAAAACCAAAAGCCACAGCAAAAUCCUCCUCGCUCCACCUCCACCGCACCAAAUCGGCCCGCACCCCGCCACACGCAGAAUGCUCCGCCGCCUCUCCGGCGCCGCCGCGUGCGGGCUCCGCCGCUCCCUCUCCUCGUCCUCGGCCGCCUCGCGGCCCCCGUGGGCGCUCAUCCAGCUCACCAACGUCGACAAGUCGGGGGCGCCGGCGCCGGGCGCGACCCUGCACCUCGACGCGCCCCCGUUCGUCACCGACCUCACCAUCCCCGCCCACUUCAUCACCCGCGGCCCCUCCCUGACCCCGCGACCGGCGUUCACGGCGACGUCCCGGGCCCCGUCGCUGCCGUCAGCAGCGACGACCUCCUCCUCGUGCGCUUCUGGGAGUCCCGCUUCCAGUUCGACGUCCCCGCCAACGGCGACCACCGCGAAGCCCUGGUCUCCGCGAUCCUCAACUUCUCCUUCACCGGCGUGGACACGAGCCCGGAGGUCACGCGCUUCGUCUGCAACCCGCUCAGCGGCGAGCUCUACCGCCUCCCGGACCUCGACGGCACCAAGCGAACCUCCCGCUACCGCCACAUCGGCCUCCUCACCCAGUCCCAAGGCGGGCACGCCCCCCCUGACAGGUAUGCCGUAGCUGAGAUGUUCACUACCAGAGGCAGGGAGAGGGAAGAGGAGGGCUUCGUCUUGCGCCGGUUUCUCUCGGAGACGGGGAGGUGGGAAAAAAUGGCGGGCUUGCCGUCCCCAUUGCCUGCCGGUCGGCGGAUGCACAUCGACAGCGCCGUGGUGCCCUUCGGCGACCGCUUGUGGUGGGUCGACGAGAGCUGGGGCGCCGUCUCGGUGAACCCGCUCAGCGAGAGGCCGGAGCUCCGGUUCGUGGAGCUGCCCAGAGGGAGCGUGCUGCCUGACCUCGAAGGCGUGGUGUUCAUGAGGAAACUUAAGCGCUACCGGCGCAUGGGGGAGAGCGAGGGGAAGCUGCGCUACAUCGAGGUGUCCAAAGAGAAGCCCUAUGUGGUCAGCUCCUUCACCCUCGACGACGGUGGGAGCUCCUGGACGCUGGACCACGAGGUGGCGUUUACCACAAUUUGGGAUGAUGAACCCUUGAAGGAGAUGCCGGCGAUUGGCGCAAUUGACCCACUGAACAGCCAUGUUGUGUACCUUGUGUGCGGCGACCAGCUUCUUGGCGUGGACAUGGAGAAGGAGAAGAUAACAGGGAGCUCUCGUCUUGCUAUACCCAGUGUCCCCAUCCUACCAUGUGUGCUCCCGACGUGGCUGGAAUCAAGCCAGAUUCCCUCUGCAGAUUGGAGCAAGAAGACCGCUGUGAAAAGGGAGACGCCGCCUGACAUGGUCAAAAAGGAGACUUUGCGUGUAGAAGUAGAGCUGAUGAAGUGA
rnacentral:rRNA from 1 species